CCUUUGUUUUUCCCAGUCCAGACUCUGUAUUUCCAUAUAUUCUCUUCUCUCUCUCUCUUUCAUUUUUUCUGUUUCUCUUUCACUUUUAAAAACAUUCUCUUGACAUUUUGCCCUUUCUCUUCAUGUAGUAUAUAAACGGUUGUGUCAUUUGAGGCUUUUUGUAAUCGGAUUCCCUUUCUCUAGUAGUUUCUUGGAAGUACUGAUUUUUCCCCCCAGGUUUAUAGAAUAAUUUUCAAGAACUUUGGUCAAAUCUCAGAUUUCAUACAGUCUUUAUGGAUUCCUCAAGCCCAUUCUUGAUUCUUCAAUGUCUUGCUAGUGAAGACAACCCUAGGGCACAUGUAAAAAAAGAAUGCCUGGUGGUAAAAGAAGGAUUUCAGAGGAGGGUACAGACCAGGAGAGGGUGCUGAAUAUGUGCCAGGGGCUGAAAGCCCUCACCAGAGAGAAAUGAGAAAAAGUGCCUAGGAGGGGAAAUGUGAUACAAACACAGAAGCACAGGAUGGCUCAGGACCCACUUGUGAAGCUGGGGUUGGCUGGGACUCAGCUGAGAAGCAGGAGGUGGGCACAGCAAAUGACAAUGCCCACUGCAAAUGUAUUACUAUUCCCACUGACAUAUUCAACUUCUC